GUGGGGAAUAUUGGACAAUGGGGGGAACCCUGAUCCAGCCAUGCCGCGUGUGUGAAGAAGGCCUUUUGGUUGUAAAGCACUUUAAGCGAGGAGGAGGCUACCGAGAUUAAUACUCUUGGAUAGUGGACGUUACUCGCAGAAUAAGCACCGGCUAACUCUGUGCCAGCAGCCGCGGUAAUACAGAGGGUGCAAGCGUUAAUCGGAUUUACUGGGCGUAAAGCGCGCGUAGGUGGCCAAUUAAGUCAAAUGUGAAAUCCCCGAGCUUAACUUGGGAAUUGGAUUCGAUACUGGUUGGCUAGAGUAUGGGAGAGGAUGGUAGAAUUCCAGGUGUAGCGGUGAAAUGCGUAGAGAUCUGGAGGAAUACCGAUGGCGAAGGCAGCCAUCUGGCCUAAUACUGACACUGAGGUGCGAAAGCAUGGGGAGCAAACAGGAUUAGAAACCCUUGUAGUCC
rnacentral:rRNA from 1 species